UAGGGAAUCUUCCGCAAUGGACGAAAGUCUGACGGAGCAACGCCGCGUGAGUGAAGAAGGAUUUCGGUUCGUAAAACUCUGUUGUUAGGGAAGAAAAAAUGUAUAGUAACUAUAUACAAAAGAGACGGUACCUAACCAGAAAGCCACGGCUAACUACGUGCCAGCAGCCGCGGUAAUACGUAGGUGGCAAGCGUUGUCCGGAAUUAUUGGGCGUAAAGCGCGCGCAGGUGGUUUAGAAAGUCUGAUGUGAAAGCCCACGGCUCAACCGUGGAGGGGCAGUGGAAACUAAUAAACGUGAGUGCAGGAGAGAAAAGUGGAAUUCCUAGUGUAGCGGUGAAAUGCGUAGAGAUUAGGAGGAACACCGGUGGCGAAAGCGGCUUUUUGGCCUGCAACUGACACUGAGGCGCGAAAGCGUGGGGAGCAAACAGG
rnacentral:rRNA from 1 species